GAGGUGUAUGCACAAGUGACUUUGUUGCCAGAACCAAAUCAAGAUGAGAAUGUGGUAUCAAAGGAACCGAUGCCCUCUCCGCCACCACGAUUCCAUGUGCACUCUUUUUGUAAGACAUUAACAGCCUCUGAUACCAGCACUCAUGGAGGAUUUUCUGUCUUGAGACGGCAUGCUGAUGAAUGCCUCCCGCCUCUGGAUAUGUCUCGGCAGCCUCCAACACAGGAGUUGGUGGCCAAAGAU
rnacentral:misc_RNA from 1 species